rnacentral:rRNA from 1 species
GAAACCAACAGGGAUUGCCUUAGUAACGGCGAGUGAAGCGGCAAAAGCUCAAAUUUGAAAUCUGGCACCUUCGGUGUCCGAGUUGUAAUUUGAAGAAGGUAACUUUGGAGUUGGCUCUUGUCUAUGUUCCUUGGAACAGGACGUCACAGAGGGUGAGAAUCCCGUGCGAUGAGAUGCCCAAUUCUAUGUAAAGUGCUUUCGAAGAGUCGAGUUGUUUGGGAAUGCAGCUCUAAGUGGGUGGUAAAUUCCAUCUAAAGCUAAAUAUUGGCGAGAGACCGAUAGCGAACAAGUACAGUGAUGGAAAGAUGAAAAGAACUUUGAAAAGAGAGUGAAAAAGUACGUGAAAUUGUUGAAAGGGAAGGGCUUGAGAUCAGACUUGGUAUUUUGCGAUCCUUUCCUUUUUGGUUGGGUUCUCCGCAGCUUACUGGGCCAGCAUCGGUUUGGACGGUAGGAUAAUGAUUAAGGAAUGUGGCUCUGCUUCGGUGGAGUGUUAUAGCCUUGGUUGAUGCUGCCUGUCUAGACCGAGGACUGCGUCUUU